rnacentral:rRNA from 1 species
CACGUAUUUAGCCGUCGCUUCUUCUGCAGGUACCGUCACUUCCUUCUUCCCUGCUGAAAGCACUUUACAAUCCGAAAACCUUCCUCGUGCACACAGAAUUGCUGGAUCAGGGUUGCCCCCAUUGUCCAAUAUUCCCCACUGCUGCCUCCCGUAGGAGUAAGGGCCGUAUCUCAGUCCCCUUGUGGCCGUUCACCCUCUCAGGCCGGCUACCUAUCAUCGCCUUGGUGGGCCGUUACCCCGCCAACAAGCUAAUAGGACGCAAAGCUCUCCCGCAGCAUCUCUUUUCAUUGCCAGGCACAUGCGUGCCGGCAACUGUAUCAGGUGUUGUCAGUUCGUUUCCGUCUGUUAUCCCUGUCUGCAGGCAAGUUCUUACGCGUUACUCACCCGUCCGCCUUGGCUAGCCUGUGCAAGCACAGAUUCGCCAAAGACUUGCAUGUGUUAAGCUAUUCUGUCAGUCGUUCAUCCUGACGCCAGGACUCAAACUCU